rnacentral:rRNA from 1 species
GACGAACGCUGGCGGCGUGCUUAACACAUGCAAGUCGAACGAUGAAGCCGGAGCUUGCUCUGGUGAAUUAGUGGCGAACGGGUGAGUAACACGUGAGAAACCUGCCCUUGACUCUGGGAUAACUGCGGGAAACUGUAGCUAAUACCGGAUACGACCCUCGGAGGCAUCUCCCGGGGGUGGAAAGAAUUUCGGUAAAGGAUGGACUCUCGGCCUAUCAGCUAGUUGGUGGGGUAAAGGCUCACCAAGGCGACGGCGGGUAGACGGCCUGAGAGGGUAGACGGCCACCCUGGGACGGAGACACGGCCCAGACUCCUACGGGGGGCAGCAGUAGGGAAUCUUCCGCAAUGGACGAAAUUCUGACGGAGCAACGCCGCGUGAGUGAUGAAGGCUUUCGGGUCGUAAAACUCUGUUGUUAGGGAAGAACAAGUGCUAGUUGAAUAAGCUGGCACCUUGACGGUACCUAACCAGAAAGCCACGGCUAACUACGUGCCAGCCGCCGCCGUAA